rnacentral:rRNA from 1 species
ACGGGAGGCAGCAGUGGGGAAUAUUGCACAAUGGGCGCAAGCCUGAUGCAGCAACGCCGCGUGAGGGAAGACGGUUUUCGGAUUGUAAACCUCUGUUCUUAGUGACGAAGAAGUGACGGUAGCUAAGGAGCAAGCCACGGCUAACUACGUGCCAGCAGCCGCGGUAAUACGUAGGUGGCAAGCGUUAUCCGGAAUUACUGGGUGUAAAGGGAGCGCAGGCGGGAUAGCAAGUCAGCGGUGAAAUGUAUGGGCUUAACCCAUGAACUGCCGUUGAAACUGUUAUUCUUGAGUGGAGUAGAGGCAGGCGGAAUUCCGAGUGUAGCGGUGAAAUGCGUAGAUAUUCGGAGGAACACCAGUGGCGAAGGCGGCCUGCUGGGCUCUAACUGACGCUGAGGCUCGAAAGUGUGGGGAGCAAACAGGAUUAGAUACCCUGGUA